rnacentral:rRNA from 1 species
AAGGUGGGGAUGACGUCAAGUCAUCAUGGCCCUUACGACCAGGGCUACACACGUGCUACAAUGGCAUAUACAAAGAGAAGCGACCUCGCGAGAGCAAGCGGACCUCAUAAAGUAUGUCGUAGUCCGGAUUGGAGUCUGCAACUCGACUCCAUGAAGUCGGAAUCGCUAGUAAUCGUAGAUCAGAAUGCUACGGUGAAUACGUUCCCGGGCCUUGUACACACCGCCCGUCACACCAUGGGAGUGGGUUGCAAAAGAAGUAGGUAGCUUAACCUUCGGGAGGGCGCUUACCACUUUGUGAUUCAUGACUGGGGUG